rnacentral:piRNA from 1 species
UGAUUAGUUGAGUGUAGGCCA